AAUUAGGGUUUCACUGACCCCCAUCCCUCUCCUAUAUAAAGCCACAACUCUGCUUCUUCAGAAUCCGUUCUUAUAUAGCCUCCUUCCUAUAAAACCCUAGCUCUUCUCCUCUUUCCUCCAAUGGCGUCUGAAAUAAUCGCCCGACUAACACCCGAGCCCCUCGGAUGCUCAACCAAACAAUGCACAUAUUACAAAUUCCUCACACAAACCUAUUCAAUCUUCAAAUCAUCGAUCCAAGUGAUGAUAUGUAAAUACAGCUUUAAUGCCAGUUCUGCUUCUGAAAAUCCGUGAUUGAUAGAGCUGUUUAUUUCUCUGAGCCUCAAUUUCAUUAAAAAAAUUAUGUUUUGUACUUAAUUUUGUAUCAUUUAUGUGUUUUAAGAAUAAUUAUUUGUGUAAAAUGUUUUAUGUAUUGUUAUGUUUAGCUAUGUAUAAGUAGUUGACUUAGCUUAAUUGUUCAAGUAGUAGAAUUUGGAUAAAGUUAACAAUUUCAUGAAUAUUUUGAGUAUUGAGAAAAAUGUUUGUGUGAUAAAUAAAGUAAUGUUGUUUAUUUAUUGAGGAAUGAUGAAUUUUCUUGUUAAGAAGAGGCCAGUGAUGUAUGGUAAUUGUCCGUACCAUAUGAGGAGUUAAACAACUCCUUUGAUUUUAUAUUUACCUUAAUUUCUGAGGCCUCUUUAAUCUCCCUCAUUUUCCUUAUUAAACAUUUAAGUGACUAAAGUUAUAUAAUAGCAUUAUAUCUAGUAAAAGUUUUGGUUUUUAUAGCCUAGUUGCUGGUAGCUUGACACACAAAGUAUCUUGUGUGUACUUGGGGUUUAACAAGGGCUGCACCUUGAACGGUGUGACUUAAACAGCCUACCUUAAUGCAAACAUUAAUUUAACCCGUGACAACUAGGUCACAUGUAGAUAAUCUUACUGUUGCUCCAAGGCUUAUUGCCUAGUUGCUGAUGAUGAUAUGAUCUAUUUCAUAUGAGGUGUAGUGGAUCCAAGUCCCUGCUUUGCAGGGGGAACCUCCUGGUGAAACUACAACAAAUGAUCAUAUUGGAUUCUUCUGAAGCUAUAAGUUUAUUUGAGAUUUUCAAAAUAGAUUUUUUUUCCUAACUUCUUAAUAUGCUGAAAAGAUGAGUUUCACUAUACCCUUGCUCUUUAAAUGUGGAUGUAGGGUCUGAAAAACUCAUAUAGUUAAGUGCUGUCAUCAGCUUCUUCACUUGUACCAAACAUGUUUGGAGUCAAAUAAAAGCACUACAUUUUUUGCCUUUUUAGUUUAUCUAAUUUUCUUUUAUUUGUUAGAGUUGAUGAAAUUGUGAUGGUUUAUUAUUGGGAGUUGCGGUUGUUGACUAUCAAAUGUGCAAUAUUAUUGAAGUUAGAUCAAAGAUGAUCAAGUUUAUCCGUUACAGUUUAGGACCAUAUUCACUAUUUGAUGAUUAACAAAAUAUGAUCACACCUUUUACAGCAAGUAGUGAAAAUGGUUCUAAAUUGUAUUGGACAUAGUUUAUCCUAGCCGAUGCUGGAGUAUUUUGAAGGAUUAAGAUUGCUUCUGGUACCUAUUUCUCUUGUACUUUUGUUGAUUAUUGGUGUCACCUCUUAUAACCAAUCACAGCACUAUUGAGUUCUAGUGCUCUAUGUCGCUGUUCCCCACAUCAAUUAUCAAAGAUCAAUUGCACUUGUGGUUUCAACCAGAACCAUACCGUCUAGAAGCUUGCUCAAUACGCCAUUUCCAGAUUAGUACUUCGGUAUUUUCAGAAAAUACUCCAGAAGGUGGCAAAAUUGUUGAUAUGCUGAAAAUUAGUCUGAUUCAUAACUCUAAUGUAGAAGUAUGUGGUGCUUAUGCUUUCUUGAGCCGAGGGUAUAUUUGUUUUUCUAAUUUGGAAUUUUUUUAAUGUUGGCUAUGAUUUAAAAAUUUAUCUGUGCUUCUGAGAGCAAUCUAUGAAGCAUACGAUAAAAUGAUGGUUGGAUUUCUUAAUAUGGGCCUAUAAUUAGCUUAUUUUUUUGGCAGUGAUGAUAUAUAAAUACAGCUUUAAUGCCAGUUCUGCUUCUGAAAUUCCGUGAUUGAUAGAGCUGUUUAUUUCUCUGAGCCUCAAUUUCAUUAAGAAAAUUACGUUUACGCUUAGUCUUCGAUUAACUAGACAAGUGGUUGAAUUUGGAUAAAUGUAACAAUUUUAUUAACCUUUUGAGUAUUAAAGGUUGAAAAAAAUGUUUUUAGUGUGUUAUUAAUGAAGUGUUGUUUAUUUAGUAAGGAAUGAUUGAUUUUUUGGUUAUUAAGAUGCCAAUGAUGGGUGGUAAUUGUCCGUA